CGCAGCCGCGGUAAUUCCAGCUCCAAUAGCGUAUAUUAAAGUUGUUGCAGUUAAAAAGCUCGUAGUUGAAUUUCGGGAUUGGCGCAUCGGUCGUGCCUUACGGGGUAUGAACUGGUGCAGUCAAUUUCUCACCUUCUGGAGAACCGCGAUGUCCUUAAUUGGGUGCCGCGGGGAACCAGGACCUUUACUUUGAAAAAAUUAGAGUGUUUAAAGCAGGCAUUUUUGCUUGAAUACAUUAGCAUGGAAUAAUAAAAUAGGACGGCAUGGUUCUAUUUUGUUGGUUUCUAGGACCACCGUAAUGAUUAAUAGGGAUAGUUGGGGGCAUUAGUAUUCAAUUGUCAGAGGUGAAAUUCUUGGAUUUAUUGAAGACUAACUACUGCGAAAGCAUUUGCCAAGGAUGUUUUCAUUAAUCAAGAACGAAAGUUAGGGGAUCGAAGACGAUCAGAUACCGUCCUAGUCUCAACCAUAAACGAUGCCGACCAGGGAUCAGCGGAUGUUGCUUAUAGGACUCCGCUGGCUA
rnacentral:rRNA from 1 species